GACGAACGCUGGCGGCGUGCCUAAUACAUGCAAGUCGAGCGGACGAAUCGAAAGCUUGCUUUUGAUUCGUUAGCGGCGGACGGGUGAGUAACACGUGGGCAACCUGCCCUGUAGACGGGGAUAACACCGAGAAAUCGGUGCUAAUACCGGAUAACACGAAAUGUCGCAUGACGUUUCGUUGAAAGACGGCGCAAGCUGUCGCUACAGGAUGGGCCCGCGGCGCAUUAGCUAGUUGGUGAGGUAACGGCUCACCAAGGCGACGAUGCGUAGCCGACCUGAGAGGGUGAUCGGCCACACUGGGACUGAGACACGGCCCAGACUCCUACGGGAGGCAGCAGUAGGGAAUCUUCCGCAAUGGACGAAAGUCUGACGGAGCAGCGCCGCGUGAGCGAAGAAGGCCUUCGGGUCGUAAAGCUCUGUUGUUAGGGAAGAACAAGUAACGCAGUAACUGGCGUUACCGUGACGGUACCUAACGAGAAAGCCACGGCUAACUACGUG
rnacentral:rRNA from 1 species